GAUGAACGCUGGCGGCGUGCCUAAUACAUGCAAGUCGAGCGAACAGACGAGGCGCUUGCUCCUCUGACGUUAGCGGCGGACGGGUGAGUAACACGUGGAUAACCUACCUAUAAGACUGGGAUAACUUCGGGAAACCGGAGCUAAUACCGGAUAAUAUAUUGAACCGCAUGGUUCAAUAGUGAAAGACGGUUUUGCUGUCACUUAUAGAUGGAUCCGCGCCGCAUUAGCUAGUUGGUAAGGUAACGGCUUACCAAGGCAACGAUGCGUAGCCGACCUGAGAGGGUGAUCGGCCACACUGGAACUGAGACACGGUCCAGACUCCUACGGGAGGCAGCAGUAGGGAAUCUUCCGCAAAGGGCGAAAGCUUGACGGAGCAACGCCGCGUGAGUGAUGAAGGUCUUCGGAUCGUAAAACUCUGUUAUUAGGGAAGAACAAAUGUGUAAGUAACUAUGCACGUCUUGACGGUACCUAAUCAGAAAGCCACGGCUAACUACGUG
rnacentral:rRNA from 1 species